rnacentral:rRNA from 1 species
UACGAAGGGGGCUAGCGUUGCUCGGAAUCACUGGGCGUAAAGGGUGCGUAGGCGGGUCUUUAAGUCAGGGGUGAAAUCCUGGAGCUCAACUCCAGAACUGCCUUUGAUACUGAGGAUCUUGAGUUCGGGAGAGGUGAGUGGAACUGCGAGUGUAGAGGUGAAGUUCGUAGAUAUUCGCAAGAACACCAGUGGCGAAGGCGGCUCACUGGCCCGAUACUGACGCUGAGGUGCGAAAGCGUGGGGAGCAAACAGG